UACGUAGGUGGCAAGCGUUGUCCGGAUUUACUGGGCGUAAAGAGCGCGCAGGCGGUCGUUCAAGUCGCGUGUGAAAGCCCCCGGCUCAACUGGGGAGGGUCACGCGAUACUGAUCGACUCGAAGGCAGGAGAGGGAAGUGGAAUUCCUGGUGUAGCGGUGAAAUGCGCAGAUAUCAGGAAGAACACCCGUGGCGAAGGCGGCUCUCUGGGACGGUACUGACGCUGAGACGCGAAAGCGUGGGGAGCGAACAGG
rnacentral:rRNA from 1 species